rnacentral:lncRNA from 1 species
GUGUGAUACAAUCUCUCUAUCGAGAGUCCCGACUUGAUGGAGGUCAUGGAGAACUCGUCAAACCCCAUCAUCAGUCAUAUGCUAGAUUAUCUCAACUCGAGUUCAUUUGUGAAUUUCAUAAAUUUUUUUUCCAAUAUUUACACUUACUCUGGCCAGAGAUUUUUCUAAACUCAGUCUUACGAAUUGUAUAGAACUUCUCUUUUUCUACCAAGGUCGAUAGAUUUUAUCUAGAUGCAUCUUACUCCAAACAACGAAUAUGAACCUACAUAGCCAACAUACACAGUAAGGAUCCGAAUGGCUAAGGACUAAGAAAAUAUAUAGUCAAACUAUAUAGCCUCACUGCGAAUAGCCAAUACACCACAGGUUAAAGGACCAAUCACAUCACUGCAGUAUCGAGAAAGACCAUUGAUGAGUGAGUAAACAUCCAAGUGGUUUUUCGUAUUGGUCAUGCUCAGUAUAAGUUAUU